GAUGAAGAACGCAGCGAAAUGCGAUAAGUAGUGUGAAUUGCAGAAUUCAGUGAAUCAUCGAAUCUUUGAACGCACAUUGCGCCCCUUGGUAUUCCAUGGGGCAUGCCUGUUCGAGCGUCAUUUGUACCUUCAAGCUUCGCUUGGUGUUGGGUGUUUGUCUCGCCUCUGCGUGUAGACUCGCCUCAAAACAAUUGGCAGCCGGCGUAUUGAUUUCGGAGCGCAGUACAUCUCGCGCUUUGCACUCAUAACGACGACGUCCAAAAGUACAUUUUUACACUCUUGACCUCGGAUCAGGUAGGGAUACCCGCUGAACUUAAGCAUAUCAAUAAGCGGAGGA
rnacentral:misc_RNA from 1 species